UACGUAUGGUGCAAGCGUUAUCCGGAUUUAUUGGGUUUAAAGGGUGCGUAGGCGGAUUGUCAAGUCAGCGGUAAAAUUGAGAGGCUCAACCUCUUCCCGCCGUUGAAACUGGUGGUCUUGAGUGGAUGAGAAGUACGCGGAAUGCGUGGUGUAGCGGUGAAAUGCAUAGAUAUCACGCAGAACUCCGAUUGCGAAGGCAGCGUACCGGCAUCCAACUGACGCUGAGGCACGAAAGCGUGGGGAUCAAACAGG
rnacentral:rRNA from 1 species